CAAGCGGGGAGGAGCACAGAUAGGAUCAUCUCAGCCUAAACUGGGCCUUUUGUGUUUAUGUAGGCCUUUUGUUCAAGUGGAUUUUUGCUUAUAGUUCCAUCACAGGAGGAGGUUUCUGGUAGUCUCACCUUUGCUGUAACCAAUCAGAAAACCCAGGUUAUGAUGUCAAACCCCAGAAGUUAUGGUUUCCCUAUAAAAGGACUUAACUUUCUCGCUAGCUGUUAACCCCUUUAGCCCAGGAUUAGUUAGUGAGCUAAUUUCAGUUAGAAUUUAGCUUGCCCUUAGCAUCAUAAUAAAAUCUUUGCUCUUUGAUUUGGAGGCCUACAUUCUUUUGAGACACCUUAUGACCCCAGACUGUAAUUCCAAUAUGCUUUUAGGUGGAACUCCAUACCCCGUCAUUUUGAUGGGAAACCCCGUCAUUUUGAUGGGAAACCCCAUCAUUUUUGUGGCCCUAUAAAGGAAAGAAUCUGAUGUGCACCCAGGAACCUCAACAGGGUUUUAGGAUUUUUGAUGAUAGUGGAGCUAAUUAAUCUCUUUCUUUUCAAGGUUCUCUUAUCAACCAUCUAGUCACUCCUCUCUUUCCUUUGCUGAAUUCAUAUCCACAAACAUACUUGAUUGACCAUCUGUAUCUGAAAAUGCUCUGUCUUGGACCCUGAAGCAGAUAAGAAAGAGGAUAAUCAGGGAUAUCCAUAUUCUACAGGAUGACUCUAAAUACUGCCUAACUAGCCCCUACAAAAAGAAAGGCUCAAAGUUCACUCUGUACCCCAAUGAUACUUUCUUUCCAGGUAUAUCCCUGAAACUUUUGGACUAAGAUGGAAAGCUCACAAGAUAUAGCCAAUCUCCACUGAAAAUAAGAAUGGAUAAAUGUAAAGAGAAAAAGAAUGGAGCCCCGUUGUCCACAGAUGAGAAGUGUCCCAGUUGCUUUCUUUCCAGAAUACAGAAAGUAGUGAAAAAAUCAUAAGGUGACCAGGCCCUGACUUUUGAAUAUACCCUACCUUGGCCAUGCACUCAAUUAAGCAGGCUUAUAUUUGCAAUAUUUGGUGGAGCAAAAGCAGUUAUAGAAAAUCUGUGCAUGUUCCAAUAGCCACAUCAGAAAGGUAAUCUGGGAUGUUCAUAAGUACUGGGUUCACUGACCAGUUUCUGUUACAUUCUAAUAGGGAAGGAUAAUGCAUAAAGGAAAUUCUGGAGCAGUCUAUCAACAAAGAGGCAAUCUGGAAAAUGAAUUGAUGAUGUCUGUGGUUGCUCAGGAAAUGAUGAUGUGGGCUAAGAAUUCACCAGUUAGAUAAAAGAGCUUAUCUUUAGGGCUUUAUCAAAGGUUGCAAAACUGCUAGUGAGAAGGUGAAGAAGAUGAACUAAAGAUAGUAUCUGGGAGCUACCAGAACAUCCCUAAAUUAAAUCUAGGUAGAACCAAGAGUAUCUGGCCCAGAUAAAUGAUGAGACUAGCAGAACACCACCAGGGGAAAUUAAAUGCUAUUGCUGGGAGACUAGUGGAGAAUAUGGAGAAUUAGUAGAUCUGAUUAGAUCAAUAAAGGAGCAAUGUACCUGGCUGAGAUGUCUGCAGUGAAAAGCAGAUCUGAAAAAGCGUCAUGAAGACCUCAUUAGAACACAAUCGUGCAGUGCUGUCCCUCUACAAAUUCCCCAUGGUGGGCCACCGGUGCACUGGUCAUUUGAAUAUAUAAUCUGUUUUUCCAGACAACGCUGGAUCAUUUUAUAUGGGACUUGCCUAAUUGGUGGGUAUGUGUAUGUGUAUGUAUAGAUCGGUCCUGACAGCUCUCUCUGGAAUUUUUCCCACUCCUCUCCAAGGGAGGCUGUGAUUCCUGCCUGGAGAUAAGAAGGGCCUUGAGGUUGGAUAAAUUGUUCUCUGUUCUCUAGAAGAGACAUUGUAUUACAAAGAUAUCUCUCUUGACUCCCUAAAAAUUCUGGUCUAAAGUCAUGAUUGGUUCAAGAAAAAGGCUGCUAAUUUUUCUUGUCUGUAUCUCUUUGGGGGGAAGGAGGGGAAGGGUUGGGGUAGCCCUUAUCUUAUAUUUACCAGUUUGAUUUCUCCCUUAUCUUAUAUUUACCAGUUUGAUUUCUUCCUACCAAAAACAAAAGCCAUCACAAAUAGUAAAUAGUGAGUAAACCCAUUUAUCUGAGGACAUGACAAAUAGAAAUUGGAGUUGUACAAAUGAGAAUAUAGCAGAAAAUUCACAGAAUAAAUGAGAUUUUGGUCUAGGAAAAGAUAGCUUAAAACAAGAGAGAGGUACAGAUUUUAGCCAAGGGAGAUUCCCCAAAAUCUAUGGAAAUCAAGGAUAUAUUGAAACACUGAUUUCCCUUAAAUGUCUGUACCUUUCAAAAUCUGUCUGUAUGUCUUUGUAGUUCUCAAAGAGUUUGGUGCCAUGCAAAUUUUCUCUCUCAGAACAACAGCAAAAAGUGUUUUCUCUCUCCAGAGCUUUUUAACAAUUCUACUCUCUCCAGGUAUACAGAGUUGAGUCAGCAUUCUUUCCACCAAUUAGGAGACUUAUGUAAACUAUCCUAGGCUUAGCUGGAAAGCCGAAGUUAUAUAUAUUUGUGGGAGAGUCUAUCCUAGGUUUAUAGAAGAAUGUUCUAUUAUGAAAUUUUGGAUUGUAAUAUUUUGUAAAAAUCAUUAAAAAAAAAUCUUGAUUUAAAAAAAAUUCUUGCCUUUCUUGAGAAAACAAACAUAUCAUUGGAGGCUCAUGGAAUAUCAUUUUAAAUGGAUGUGGACCUACAAAAUAACUUGAAUAGGAGGCAGUAUUUUGGUGAUUACGCAUAUGAGAGUGGGGACCCCAGGUGCUACUUAGAAAACAUUUUACAAACAUUGAGGCACUAUGUAAAUUCCAUUUAUUAUUUUUUAUUUGUAUUUAUAACAUAAUAACUUUG